UACGGAGGGGGCUAGCGUUGUUCGGAAUUACUGGGCAUAAAGCGCACGUAGGCGGCUUUGUAAGUUAGAGGUGAAAGCCCAGGGCUCAACCCUGGAAUUGCCUUUAAGACUGCAUCGCUAGAAUUGUGGAGAGGUAAGUGGAAUUCCGAGUGUAGAGGUGAAAUUCGUAGAUAUUCGGAAGAACACCAGUGGCGAAGGCGACUUACUGGACACAUAUUGACGCUGAGGUGCGAAAGCGUGGGGAGCAAACAGG
rnacentral:rRNA from 1 species